UGCCAGCAGCCGCGGUAAUACGGAGGGGGCUAGCGUUAUUCGGAAUUAUUGGGCGUAAAGGGUGCGUAGGCUGUUGUUUAAGUAAAGUGUUAAAGCCCCGGGCUUAACCCGGGAUGUGCGCUUUAAACUGGACAACUAGAAUGUGGUAGAGGAAAGUGGAAUUUCUAGUGUAGGGGUGAAAUUCGUAGAUAUUAGAAGGAACACCAGAGGCGAAGGCGGCUUUCUGGGCCACUAUUGACGCUGAGGCACGAAAGCGUGGGGAGCAAACAGGAUUAGAUA
rnacentral:rRNA from 1 species